GACGAACGCUGGCGGCGUGCUUAACACAUGCAAGUCGAACGGACAGGCCCUGCUUUUGUUGGUUGCUCGUGUGGCGCACGGGUGAGUAACACGUGAGUAACCUGCCCUUGACUUUGGGAUAACUUCAGGAAACUGGGGCUCAUACCGGAUAUGAUCUCCUGCUGCAUGGUGUGGGUUGGAAAGUUUCGGCGGUUGGGGAUGGACUCGCGGCUUAUCAGCUUGUUGGUGGGGUAGUUGCUUACCAAGGCUUUGACGGGUAGCCGGCCUGAGAGGGUGACCGGCCACAUUGGCACCGAGGUAAGGCACAGAUUCGUACGGGAGGCAGCAGGGGGGAAUAUUGCACAAGGGGCGGAAGCGUGAUGAAGCAAGGCCGCGUGCGGGAUGACGGCCUUCGGGGUGUAAACCGAUUUCGCCAGUAACGAAGCGUGAGUGACGGUAAUGUGUAAAGAAGCACCGGCUAACUACGUG
rnacentral:rRNA from 1 species